rnacentral:rRNA from 1 species
AGAGGGCGGAAUUAUUCGGACAAUAGGGUGCAAGCCUGAUCCAGCAAUGCCGCGUGAGUGAUGAAGGCCUUCGGGUCGUAAAGCUCUUUUACCAGGGAUGAUAAUGACAGUACCUGGAGAAUAAGCUCCGGCUAACUCCGUGCCAGCAGCCGCGGUAAUACGGAGGGAGCUAGCGUUGUUCGGAAUUACUGGGCGUAAAGAGUACGUAGGCGGCUAUUCAAGUCAGAGGUGAAAGCCCGGGGCUCAACCCCGGAACUGCCUUUGAAACUAGGUAGCUAGAAUCUUGGAGAGGUCAGUGGAAUUCCGAGUGUAGAGGUGAAAUUCGUAGAUAUUCGGAAGAACACCAGUGGCGAAGGCGACUGACUGGACAAGUAUUGACGCUGAGGUGCGAAAGCGUGGGGAGCAAACAGGAUUAGAUACCCCUGGUAGA